rnacentral:sRNA from 2 species
CCCUAGCCCUGAUGGGAACGGCAUCCUUUUAUGGUGGGGUUCACCAUAAAAGAUACAGUGGACAGCAGGAAACAGC